rnacentral:rRNA from 1 species
CCUACGGGCGGCAGCAGUGGGGAAUAUUGGACAAUGGGGGCAACCCUGAUCCAGCCAUGCCGCGUGUGUGAAGAAGGCCCUCGGGUUGUAAAGCACUUUCAGUGAGGAAGAACGCCUGGUGGUUAAUACCCAUCAGGAAAGACAUCACUCACAGAAGAAGCACCGGCUAACUCCGUGCCAGCAGCCGCGGUAAUACGGAGGGUGCGAGCGUUAAUCGGAAUUACUGGGCGUAAAGCGCGCGUAGGUGGCUUGAUAGGCCGGUUGUGAAAGCCCGGGCUCAACCUGGGAACGGCAUCCGGAACUGUCAAGCUAGAGUGCAGGAGAGGAAGGUAGAAUUCCCGGUGUAGCGGUGAAAUGCGUAGAGAUCGGGAGGAAUACCAGUGGCGAAGGCGGCCUUCUGGACUGACACUGACACUGAGGUGCGAAAGCGUGGGUAGCAAACAGGAUUAGAUACCCUGGUAGUC